AGCCCGGUGGUGUAGCGGACAAGCAUGGCGGGCUUUGGACCCGCAGAACGGGGGUUCGAAUCCCCCCCGGGCUACCA
rnacentral:tRNA from 1 species